UCGAUCUCAAAUCAGGUAGGACUACCCGCUGAACUUAAGCAUAUCAAUAAGCGGAGGAAAAGAAACUAACAAGGAUUCCCCUAGUAACUGCGAGUGAAGCGGGAAGAGCUCAAAUUUAAAAUCUGGCGUGCCUCUGGUCGUCCGAGUUGUAGUCUAGAGAAGUGU
rnacentral:rRNA from 1 species